AUGCCCUUUUAAAAGCAGUCCAGAGAGGCUGAGAAGGGGGAACACAAAGCGAUCGCUUUGUGGGGGCUUUUUUUGCCCAAACCCUCUUUGCAACAUCUGGCAAAGAGGGUUUUUGUU
rfam:Bacillus subterraneus strain MITOT1 contig_164, whole genome shotgun sequence.